rnacentral:rRNA from 1 species
UAGGGAAUUUUGCGCAAUGGGCGAAAUGCCUGACGCAGCGACGUCGCGUGUGGGAUGAAGGGUCUCGGCUCGUAAACCACUGUCAGAUGGGAAGAUGGCGUCAACGAUUAAUACUCGUUGAUGUUGACUGUACCAUCAGAGGAAGCACCGGCUAACUACGUGCCAGCAGCCGCGGUAAUACGUAGGGUGCAAGCGUUACUCGGAAUCAUUGGGCGUAAAGGGUGUGUAGGCGGAAUAGUAAGUCAGAUGUGAAAGCCUUGAGCUCAACUCAAGAAGUGCAUUUGAUACUGCUAUUCUAGAAUCCAGAAGAGGAAGGAAGAAUUCCCGGUGUAGAGGUGAAAUCCGUAGAUAUCGGGAGGAAUACCGGAGGCGAAGGCGUCCUUCUAGGCUGGUAUUGACGCUGAGACACGAAAGCGUGGGUAGCAAACAGG